rnacentral:rRNA from 1 species
AUUGAACGCUGGCGGCAUGCCUUACACAUGCAAGUCGAACGGCAGCAUGGAAGAGCUUGCUCUUCUGAUGGCGUGUGGCGAACGGGUGAGUAAAGCAUCGGAACGUACCGUGUAGUGGGGGAUAACGUAGCGAAAGUUACGCUAAUACCGCAUACGCACUGAGGUGGAAAGCAGGGGAUCGCAAGACCUUGCGCUAUACGAGCGGCCGAUGUCAGAUUAGCUAGUUGGUAGGGUAAAGGCCUACCAAGGCGACGAUCUGUAGCGGGUCUGAGAGGAUGAUCCGCCACACUGGGACUGAGACACGGCCCAGACUCCUACGGGAGGCAGCAGUGGGGAAUUUUGGACAAUGGGGGAAACCCUGAUCCAGCCAUGCCGCGUGAGUGAAGAAGGCCUUCGGGUUGUAAAGCUCUUUCGGCUGGGAAGAAAUCGCACAGGCUAAUACUCUGUGUGGAUGACGGUACCAGCAUAAGAAGCACCGGCUAACUACGUGCCAGCAGCCGCGGAAA